rnacentral:rRNA from 1 species
UACGAAGGGGGCUAGCGUUGCUCGGAAUCACUGGGCGUAAAGCGCACGUAGGCGGCUUUUUAAGUCAGGGGUGAAAUCCUGGAGCUCAACUCCAGAACUGCCUUUGAUACUGAGAAGCUUGAGUCCGGGAGAGGUGAGUGGAACUGCGAGUGUAGAGGUGAAAUUCGUAGAUAUUCGCAAGAACACCAGUGGCGAAGGCGGAUCUCUGGGCCUUACCUGACGCUCAGGCACGAAAGCUAGGGGAGCGAACAGG